rnacentral:rRNA from 1 species
AUACGGAGGGGGCUAGCGUUGUUCGGAAUUAUUGGGCGUAAAGGGCGCGUAGGCGGCCAAGCAAGUCGGAGGUGAAACCCCUCGGCUCAACCGGGGGACUGCCUUCGAUACUGCUUGGCUAGAGUACCGGAGAGGGUAGCGGAAUUCCCAGUGUAGCGGUGAAAUGCGUAGAUACUGGGAGGAACACCGGUGGCGAAGGCGGCUACCUGGACGGAUACUGACGCUGAGGCGCGAAAGCUAGGGGAGCAAACAGGAUUAGAUACCCUGGUAGUCCUAGCUGUAAACGAUGAGCACUUGGUGUCGCGGGUAACCACCCCUGCGGUGCCGAAGCAAACGCAUUAAGUGCUCCGCCUGGGGAGUACGGUCGCAAGGCUGAA